GGCGCGUUCCCAUGCACGCGACGGCGACAUUUUUUUCUUGUUCCGCGCAGGCAGAAGCAACAACAGGUUUCUCGCAACCGUACGGUUUGGUUGUCAACAUCGCUUCAGGUUCCGGUCGCAUAUAAAUCGUUGAACGAGAAGCCGAGACAUGGAAAAAUUGUCGCUGCCGCUGUCGCUCUCGCAAAUCGCGCGCUUGGGAACAAGCCCUGGAGUGUGCCAUCAUUGCGAACAUUAUACCGCUGCACGGCCUGCGCAGCGUCCAACGAAUGUUGCAGAAAUCAAAAAUCAAUAAAACAUUUCAUUAGCUGCCCAAUCCGACACCGCAAGUGGCUCGAAAUAUCAAAGUGGCUUGUUUGUUUGCAUCUAUUCACUGUGUUAUUAUCCGCUGUUUAGGCGUAUGUAUUAUGAAUAAUAUUAUUAAACAAGAGAACUGGAAUGUGCAAUUUUAUUCUGCGUUGUUUGCAUAUUUGUAGUUACAGGUUCAAGUUGCGCCGUUCCUCUCCUUUAGUCGAGGCAAACUGCUAGGGCUAUCGAAGCCAAUCCAAGCCGCAAGCGAAGUGUACGGCAUUGUUUGCUUUGUCGCCGCACGUGGUUUUGAAUUGAGUGUUCAUGUUGUGUGGUGUCCUGUAUUUCACACGUUUCAUUCACACAAUUUUCUAUUUGCGUAACUACGUGCAACAUGCACAUUUUGGUGAAGUGGCCGGGCGUGAAUAUGCUGGACGUUUAUCCCGUCGACAGCCUGCAAGAUAUCGAAUUAGGUUUAAGUAUUUUGCAUGACCCGGCAAACGUGGACAUCGCUAAGGGGAAGACUUUCCUCAUACAGUGGAGCAAGAAUGCGGAGCCCUCUGAAGCCUUCGUCGUUGCUGCGGGCCUCAGGGUGCGCACUGUACACAUUGUGCAGAGCACAAUCGGAAAAUAGAGGAGCUUGAGCAAUGAGCAUACAAAUGCCCGCCUGACAAAGAAGCUUCGUAGAGCCAAAGAGAAGUGUGUCAUGACCAACAGGGUGGAUCAAAUGGAAAAUCUAAUCCAGACUGCCUCCAACCAGAGCGCUGCUGCUGUUACAGCAGCACCAAUGCUGGACAUCGGCUUAGGUGUUUGCGUGUACGCCGGUUUUCUGCACAGAAUAGAGAGGAGCUGCUAAGGGGAUAGGACAAGGCUGGCCCAUGCCCUCAUUUGGGCAGUGUUUUCUCCUGAGGAGAUGAUUGGGCAAACUUCAUAUGGGAGACAAUGUAACGCCCACAAAGAUGCUGCUCUGAAACCUGCAGUGGAUGAGACACGGCAUGAAGCAGUUCUGGCGUCAACCUCGCGAUUUGGCUUGCUGGAUCCAUCACAUUCAUGUGGCACACUUUUGCAGUGCCAUUGGCAGCAACAACCAUGUUCUAAGAGUUGCAGCUGGACUGCCAGAAGUAGACCAAGAUGGUAAUCUGCACUUCUUUUGCACCAUACAGAUGCAAGAAAACAACAAGUCUGCGAGAGAUCAAGGAGAGUGUUGUGUCCAUGCUUUCGAAAAUGGAAUAAU